CGUGCUUUUAUCAUUAGUCGAACAACUGAUAAACAACUAAGUUACGAUUGUUAAGGCGGCGUCCAAAACCGGUUGGUUUGUUGGUUGAAAAAUUGGUCGUAAGAUACAAUUAAAAUAACAAAUAAUUGCAUGGGCGCACCUCAACCGAUUCGCUAUGAUGCUAUCAAAUUAAUCUUUUUACUUAUAGUCAAGCAGGCUUUGUCGACAUUGAAGGCUGGUAUCGUGCAAGAGUUAUUUUAUGAAAUCGUACUACUGGAAAAGGUGGUGUAAGUGCAUGGUAUACGAACCACCGUAGUGUCACAUACGAAGUCCUGUCAAGGCCGUAAAAUCGGAUUGCGAGUGCGAUGUUCGAUGCAACGGAUUCAUUUUCUGAGGAACUGUGUCAAAAGGGUUUGACAAGACCCCUACGCCUAUACCUAUAAUUCGUAAGCUGCGUUCCCCACAUUUAGGAGAGCUUCUAAGUUCGGGCGAAUUGGAGAUGGAAUGUAGCGGAGUGACAUCGGUGAACGACUCCGAUUCGAGGUCAGAUUCGAAUAAGUCUUCCGAAGAUAGCGA